rnacentral:lncRNA from 1 species
CAGAGAUGACGUAAGGGAUCGCUGUUCAACUUCGGUACUUGGGAGGAUCGCUUGGACACCAUUGGGAAAAGCCAUUGAAAAGGUCGUAAGACUGCAGUUCAUUCAGAAGAAAGGAACAGAGCUAAUUAAUCGAGAAAAUGCCUCCUCUUGAUACUGAUGUACUGAACUAUUGCAGUCUACAGAUCUACAGCCGACUUGCGGAAAUUAUUGGCCUUGUCUCCAGUACCUCCCUCCUCCCUGGGAGGUUAGUGCCUCUCAGAUACCAGCUGUCACCCUAGUUCCUGUCCUCUCCCUGGCGAGUGUUGGGAUGGGACUAGAAGUCAAGGCUUGGGACACACACCAAAGAUUGAACCAGGACCUUGUGCACGAUAACCAAGCACGUUACCACAACUCAUUCCCCACCCCGCUGCUGCAACAAAUUUAAUGGCAGAAUGGAAAUUGUACUGGCGUCACUGGGUGGGGGAGUGGGGGCCUGCGGGCGCCCUGCGCUCUACCUGGGUUUGGGGCAGGUGCGGUUUGCCCUGUGCAGGACUGGGGCAGGCAGGAGUCGGGCCUGGUCUCAGCUUAAGGUGACAGCGCGUUUUCCUGUCCCGAACUUGGCAGUCCGCACGGCGCGCUCUCAGGAGGAGGUUCGAGGUCUGUAUCUUCGGGGAGAUCCGCGCCCGGAGGAGCCCAACUUCUCCGUGUAGCACAAGGGCAGAAAGGCGAGCCCUCCUACUCUGUCCCCGUCCUCUUUCCUCUUUUGUCAUGCCGUCGCCAUGUAUUCUUGUUUCUGCAGCACAGAACGGGCCCGGGAGCCACACUGGCCAGGCAGGCUCUGGGCUGAGGCCGACGCACACCUUCCCUGUCCCCACACGCGGUGCCAGAGCAACAGCACCGGCGCCUUUCAGCCCCCUAGCGGGCACGUCGCUUAGGCCCACCUCAGCGCAGCGUUGAGCUUUGUGGACGCUGAGGUUUGGAUUUCCAUUUUAGUUCAUAAACAGUUUUGAGGUCUCACUGUAUCUUGGAGGGCGGGUGAUGAGUGACGAAUGGAGAAGGUGGAUGUGCAGCAGGCUUGCUCAGUGCUCCAAGGGGCUCCCAAGGCUCCGUCCAGCUCGGUGACCGCUGUCACACACCAGAGGCCCUGGGGUUGCCUUAGAACUGUGACAUUGCAAGUGUACUGCUUUCCCUGAUGGAAGAAAGAGCCUUUCUGGGGUUUUGUUUUAUUUUAUUUUCUCUUAACCUCCCCAAACCUGGAAGCUGAGCAGGAGAGGCACAGCAGCCCCACCUGGUUCCACCCUAACCGUGGGGGGCGGGGGGGGGGUUGACUUACUGUCCAACUUUAGGAAAUUAUAAACUAUUAAGAUGUAUAAAAUUAUAUUUUCAAAAUCUGUUUAGUGAUAUAGAAAAAGGAACACAUUUCUAAGUUAAGAAACAGGUCAGAAAACAAAUUUUAUGGAUGUAUUUUGCAUUUGCUUAGAUAAAUGAAUCAAAUACAUGAAAGUAUUUAUAGUGGGUAUCACUGGAUGUUAUGGCUUGUGUCUUGCUGUCCCCCAAAGCCUCAUGCAGUCACAGGUGGGACUUUUUCUGGAAUUGAUUCAUGGUGCAAUUCUAGGUUCAAGGGCACUAGGAUUAAGGGUGUGAGUGCUACUUGCCCUAAGUAGUCUGCAUAAGAUAAAAGGGCCAGAAAGACGCUGUUAAGGCCUCUGUCCUUUUGCUAACUUGUGGCCACCAUGAACUGAGAUACCCCUCUGCCACCCUGCCUUGGAGCCAGCCAAUUAUGGUCAGAAACCUCUACAAACUGUGAGCUGAAUAAACCUUUCCUCUCUUUAACUUUGGGUGUCAGGUAUUUUGUCUCAGCAAUGAGAAAAAAGUAACUAAGACACUAGACAAUGAGAUUAAGGUGGAUUCUAUUGUCUUCUCUAUCCUUUCUUCAUUAUGCAAAUGUUGAAAUACACAAAACACAUUCUUCUGUAAUAAUAGAAAAAGUAGAAAAUGAUUUUGGAUUAAUAAAAACAUCCUCUCCAAAAUUUGGGGGUUCAUUUGUGCUGAGUUCUUUCUAUCUAUCUAUCUAUCCAUCUAUCAU